CAAAGAAUAGUUAAACUUAGAAUUCUAGCUUUGGGAGCUAGAGGUAGGAGUUAGAAUCUCCUUUCUUUGA
rnacentral:tRNA from 2 species